rnacentral:rRNA from 1 species
GACGAACGCUGGCGGUGUGCUUAACACAUGCAAGUCGAACGGUAAGGCCCUUUCGGGGGUACACGAGUGGCGAACGGGUGAGUAACACGUGAGUAACCUGCCCUCAUCUCUGGGAUAACAGUCGGAAACGGUUGCUAAUACUGGAUAUGAGCUUGCAAGGCAUCUUGUGGGUUGGAACGAUUUUUUUGGUUGGGGAUGGACUCGCGGCCUAUCAGCUUGUUGGUGAGGUAGUGGCUCACCAAGGCUUCGACGGGUAGCCGGCCUGAGAGGGCGACCGGCCACAUUGGGACUGAGAUACGGCCCAAACUCCUACGGGAGGCAGCAGUGGGGAAGAUUGAACAAUGGACGGAAGUCUGAUGCAGCAACGCCGCGGGCGGGAUGACGGACUUCGGGUUGUAAACCGCUUUCAAUUGUGACGAAGCUUUUUGUGACGGUAGCAGUAGAAGAAGCACCGGCUAACUACGUG